rnacentral:rRNA from 1 species
UACGUAGGGUGCAAGCGUUGUCCGGAAUUAUUGGGCGUAAAGAGUUCGUAGGCGGUUUGUCGCGUCCGUUGUGAAAGCUUGGGGCUCAACCCCAAGUCUGCGGUCGAUACGGGCAGGCUAGAGUUCGGUAGGGGAGACUGGAAUUCCUGGUGUAGCGGUGAAAUGCGCAGAUAUCAGGAGGAACACCGGUGGCGAAGGCGGGUCUCUGGGCCGAUACUGACGCUGAGGAGCGAAAGCGUGGGGAGCGAACAGG